GCCGCCCAGCGCCUCGGGGCCUCGGGGCCUCGGGGCCUCGGGGCCUCCCCCGCCCGGGCCCUCCGUGCUGUCGGCCUUUCCGUCUCGUUAGCAGCCAGACGUCCUCUCCGCCGCGGCCCGGGCGUUCUCUCUUCAAACCCCAGGUCGACUUGGUAGCGGCUCAGGGCGCCCUGCGAGUCCCCCGGUGAGCCGGUGGGGCCGGGCGGUGCGCUCCCUACUCCUCCGCCUUCCUGCCCCUCACCAGAUACCAGCUUUUGAAGAACCUGAUGAGGCAAGAAUGUGUUAGGGGGAGUGGCUGUGUGCGUGGGCCCUGGAAUCGGACUAGAAGCCCGUUUCUUGCCUCCAAACACAUGCAUUGGAAACAGACAUGGAGGUGAAUAUUGAACCCAUCUAAAACAAUUUGGAAUGGCAGCUAAUUUGCCAAAAAGCGGUUUUGUAACCCGGCAAGAACUGCUAUUGCUUCAAAGGCACUAGACUCCUCCUCACAGAGAGGAUUGAGGGAAGACAAUGUAAAGACACUGGAGAAAGGUGGCCAUCUACAAGCAAAGGAGGAAGCCUUAGAAGAAGCCCCACCAACAGCUUGAUCCUGGGCUCCUAGAAUUCUCUGGUGUCAGAAGAGGGAACUGAAGGAGAUCCCCUGGUGGCCCCCUGAAGUGCUCCGUCAAUCUGUGCAAAUGUGUGUUUUGUGGAGUUAUCUUACUCCAGACAAGAUGUUCUUGGCUGAACUUCAGGACAUCCUGAUUCUGUUUACAGACGACUUCUGUAACCAAAAGUACUCAAGGGACAACACCUCCAUUCAUGAACUCAGCAACUGCAUUAGGCCAUACCAGGCUGGCACUUCAGUUGCAGUAGUCAACAUCACUGGUGUCAAGGAUGCCAAGAGCCCACCAGACCAAAAUAAGCAUUAUUAAAGACAUCCAACAAGAAGCAACUCCAAAUGGAAGGCAAGAUUCCUCCCUCAGAUAGACUCAUCAAGAAGCGUUAUACCACUGAAUGCAUGCAUUGAGCAGGCUUUGCUACCUGUCUGCCUCGGGUAUGGAUUAGCCAUAGGUACAUGGGAAAACAUGAUGUCAAGAUAAUGGGACUGGCAGCAACUCCCCAUUGCCUCACGGGUUACAUCUUGCACGCAUCCUACCCUGGAAGAGGACCUGAUCAUCACAGUGAACUUGGACCAUCCCCAUAGGAAGCGCUGUUGGGCUUCAUCGGUUCAUAGGCAGAGGCUGCCCUCAGCCCACCAUAGGGCUGCCUGUGGUCCAUUCCUCAACACCCACACUGUUGGGUGGGGCAGGCCCAGGGAUUCCCACAACAUGGUAUGAGCAAACUCAUUGCACCUAGGGCAGCGUUCCUCAGAAGGAAGAUCUGAGCACAAGAGCAGGCAGUAGAUGCCCUGUGUGCGUAUCUUUAGAGUCAAGUGUGGGUGAUUUACUGCUCUUCUGAGUUAUCUGUGCGAUUGUUCCUCUCUACCGAGCAUCUUUCUUCAUUGUUUUGUCUUGUUUUUGUUUUUAGUGUGAUGUUUCACUAUGUGUGGGCUUGUAGAAGCCGAUCAGAAAGUCUCAACUGAUUCUCUGAGUACAGGCUCUGGGGACUUACUGGAAAUGACUGUGUGUUAAUGCCGGGUUUGGAGGGAAGGUUUUUCCAAUUUGCUAAGCGCACUUUUCUUAACACCUAGGAACCCUAAUGGGGCAGGAGAGGAGAAAGUGAGAGGCUUCCUGUGGAGGCUUCCUGGGUUGUCAAGUGGAGCAUACUUACUAGAUUUUCCCUGCAUGGAUCCCUGUGCACUUUACAAAUCUGGUAGAUUUGCUUUUUCAAAUCUUUUUAACUUGCUGCACCUGUGGGCUUUCACUGCCCGUGACUGCCACCUGCUGGAACCAGCCUGGAAUUGCCUGCUGGCCCACCUUGCCAGCGCAGGAGGUGUGAGAGAACAGAUUGUCAAAUUCAUUCCAGGGCAUUCAUUCCAGAGGGAGCCUCUAAACUGGCCUUGACUCACAAGAAUCUGUUUUUUAAUAGUCUUUUGGAGACCCAAAGUCUACAAAUCCCUCUGAUAACUCAUCUGAGAGUUUAAUCACCUUCCCUCAGAAAUAUUUUUCCCACUUGGGAUCUCAAUGAUGCUUCUGUUUAGCUUAAUUUGCCACUGAUCUGUCUUGAUCAGGGAUGAAAAGCAACUGCUGUCAAUUUUCUGGGUAAAAGCUCUUUAUAAGCCUGGAGAAAGAUCAAUGAAUGUGUCUCACUUCUCCAGAAAGGUCCCAAGUUUUAUUUUCCUUUAAAUUGACUUCCUUGAGCAUAUUUUAAAAUGUAUUUAUCAUUUCUGUGGCUCUCCUCUGAAUGUUAUCAACUUCUCAACAUUUCUCCUUAGUAUGGAUCUGGCCAACGCCAAACACAAUGCUUCCAACAUCAUACAUGCUCUUCAGGUGACCACUCCUUUGGCAAAAAUUUUCUGAGUACUUACUAUGUGUGAGGUACACAGGCAAGGCUUUGUGGGUUAGAAGAAUCAGUCUCAAACUUUCCAAAAAGAGAGAAGAGAGAAAGCUACAAUGCCUGCCCAGAGAUCACUCUGACAGCGUGUGAGACGGGUCCAGGCGCUGGUACCCCUAGAGGCCAAGGGGAAAAAAUGAAUACGUUGAGCAUCCACUAGGCUUCAUAUAGGCAGUGGGGACCAAACUGGUCUUUGAGGUUGUGAUAUUGUGAUUGAUAAUAAGAAUCAUAUAUUUGGUCUUCCACCCUUUUGGUCUCAAAGUUCCUAAACCCUUGGAAUUAAUUUCCUGUGAUGAGAGCAAUAAAGGUAUUUCUUGUUACGUUAAUGAAGUGACUUCCUCAGGAUGGGUGCUGGUUGCUAGGGAACCAACAGUAGGGAUUAGAGGACUGGAACUUUCAUCCUCGACCUCCCCCUUUACACACAACUUGGAGAGGGAGAGGAAAGGGAUUGGAGACAUAUUUCAAUCACCAGUGGCCAAUCAUGCCUAAUGAAUGGAGGUAAUGAAGACUCCAUAAAUCCCAAAAAGGACAGAGGAUUUAGGAGAGCUUCUAGGUUGGUGAACACGUGGAGAUUUGCAGAGAGCAGGUUGGAGGGCAUGGAAGUUCUGCACCCUCCCCCCUUAUCUUGUACCUUGCCAUAAGCAACUCUCCCAUCUGGCUGUUCCUGAGUUACACCCUUUCACAAUUACACCAGUUAUCUGACAGCAGAGAAGACCCAGAGAAGGCCGUGUCAAGAUGCAGGGAGAGAUCAGAGUUAUGCAGUCAGUCACAAGCCAAGAAUUCUUGGAACAAUAGAAGCUGGAAGAGGAAAGGAAAGAUUCUUCCCUGGGGACUUUUAGAGGGAACAUAGCCCUGCCGACACCUUACUUCAAACUUCUAGCCUCCAGAACGCUACAGAGGUAAAAGAUUCAUUGAAUACUUCCAAAGAGGCUAUUGACUUUCAGCCUCUUCCCUGAUUUGAAUAUCCAAGGUUGAUAAUUUGUCCUUUUCUCUGUUUAUGUUCUCUGGGCUUCUUAAGUAACCAGCCUACGCCACAAUCUAUGUAAUCUAAAUCAUCUGACAAAAGAAUGCAUGCCACAGUCACAUGAUCUCUGCCUUUCACCUGCACACCACCUCAUGCAACAGCUGUUGAAAUUUGAGUGACUAUUAUUCUAUCACAUACUUUGUUAUGCAUUCUACCUUGGCAAGGAGAUAAUCUGUGCUCUCAUCAAAUACACGAGCAACCUAAUCACAGAAUCCCAUUUUGGAGAUCUGUUUUCGGUAGCAAAUCCUGGUUUCAUUUACUGGAUCAGCUAGUUUUCCAGCAGCAAACAGAUGGUAUGCUCAAAAGAGAAAACAAAAGAGAGUUUAAAGAAGGGACAUUGACAAGAGUGUGGGCAAGUUGUUACCAACAGGAAAUGGUAAAAUACUGCUAGCAAGAGUAGAAUGUUGUUACCACCCUUGGCUUGAAGGUACCCAGGAUGAACAUUUGCUGGAACUUAAGGCUGAAGGUGUACAGAAGGCCAUCUAGCAGAAGCUGUGGCUCUUGGUAUAGGAAUGCAGCCACUGCGAAGAGUGAUGGGAAGGAAGAUCAAGAACUAAGAGCCCUGACAUUGCUUCCCUCAUACCUUCUGAUCACCUGUUGAUGCCUCCCAGUGGACAAACCCAAUCAGAAGCCAGAGGAAGGGGAGUCAGCUAGUUGAUGGAGUCCAAGGAGGUUAGUCUCACAAGGCUCAAAGUAGGAUGAAGCUAGAGAGUAGAUCUAGAGGGGAAAAGCAGAAUUCUCAGCAGCAUGUUUACUGGCUGGCUAUCGAAGCCCAAAAACAUACAGAGAGCAAUAGCCAAUAUGUCAAUCAAUGGGUCUGACAGUCACCAAUUGGGGUAUGAAUAAAGUAUAAUGGAACCAAAGAUUCUAGCUUUCCAGCUCCUACUCUUUCUUUCCAGGACCACCAAAACAGGAGAAAGCAAAAAGCACAUGACUUCCUGAGGCUGAAUAUGUGUCUAUGUGUGUACCUUUCCCCUAUUAAACCAACUUCCAGAGUCUGGAAGGUCCAUGUGCUUAGGGAUCAAACAGCUGACUCUCAGCACUGACAUUUACAACUUACAUGACAAUGGGCAAGUUACUUCAUUACUUUAAACAUCAAUCGCAUUAUCUGUACAGUUCAGAAUAUUAAUCACCCUAACAAAAAUGUUGCAAAGGGUAAAUGAAAUAAUGGAAAGUUCUUAAUAGGGUUUUUCAUACAUGGUAAAUACCCUUUAAAUGUUUCUUUUCCAUAUUGACCUUUUUUCUUGUGCUGCAGCAUCCACUGUGUAAAACAUAUUUGAAACUCAUUUUUUGAGAGAACCCAUUCUGAGUUCCGGUCAGUUUAUAAAAUAGAAAUGUUUUAAAUAUAACUUGUUUUUAAAUUGAGAGGGGUCUGUAUUUAGACAAAACUUAUAAAGGGAUGGUUAAUGGUCAUAUUUUCAUAAAUGAUAGGAUCCCUCUAACUGGGAUAGAGUUCACUCUGCAAGAAAAUAGAUAAUUACAUAAGAAAAACUACAUAACAAAAAGAAGUAACCUGAAAUCUGUGUAUUAAACUCUAUAGAAAAUACUCUGGAGGAACAGCCCCAAAGCUAUUCAACUCCAAAGACUGGAGCAGCAUUAGAGAAUUGUGAGCAAUGAAAGCAGAGUCCCAUUUAUUUUUCUGUAUAUUUAAAUACUGCUUAAAUAUUUUACAAUGAACAUGCAUUUGUUGUGCCUAACUUUUAAAAACAUUUGAAAUUCUUGCAUGGCCCCAGAGCAAGACAAAGUGUCAAUAUUAUGGACAAAGCAAGAUGUCUACUGUAAAGAACAGUAAUGAACUACAUGUAAAGAAAUGAUGAUAUAUAAUCAAUAAGACAGUAUAAGGCUCAUUUACUUACCAAAAAGGAAAAGGAUUUUAAUGAUUUAUAUAUGGUAUGUGAACUAAUGCUGUUAGCCCUUACAUUACACUAUAAGUUCCAGAAGAAUAUUUCUAUUUAUUCCUACUUAUCCCUAACACCUAGUAUAAUAAGUGUUAUAUGCUUAGUAAGCCAGUGCUGUAUGAAUGAAUGUUUUUUUAAAUUGAGAGACGGAGUGAUGUAUUGAACAGAAUACCGUAAGUCAGUUGUCAUGAAUACUCUACAAGUCCCUGAGCCUUGGUUCUAUCAUCAAUAAAAUAGAAGAGUUGAUAACAUGAGGAAUUUCAAGACUAAUUUUUUUAAAGAUUUUAUUUAUCUAUUCAUGAGAGACACUGAGAGAGAGAGAGCAGAGACACAGGUAGAGGGAGAAGUAGGCCCCGUGCAGAGAGCCCAACGCAAGACUCGAUUCCCGGUCCCCAGGAUCACGUCCUGGGCCGAAGGCUACGCUAAACCACUGAGCCACCCGGGCUGCCCAAGACUAAUGUUAAUAAACCCAUAAGUAUCUAAAGUUUUAAGAACUGACAUUGAGCCCCCAAUUAUUUAUUAUACCAAGUAAAGAUUUAAAAAAUCACAUUUUCACUAUUAUUUCAUAAACAAAUGUAAAAGAGAAAUAAAUCAGAAUAAAGAAGUUUCUUCCUAAGAAAAGACGAUUGAUUGGCAGCCUUACACUAGUGCAUAUGCACACACACACAUACACAGACACACAACUGUAUAAUAAAUUUGACAAAGAUUCAUGGAAGAUUUUGAAUCAAAGGAUUAAAUGAACUCUGAGGUCACUUCAUCUCUAAGAUUUUAUGAACACAGUUUUAUUUCCCUUAGACUUACUUAAUGGUUUUAUUUUCCAGUGGGAAAAUAUGUCCUUAAUUGCUGAAAAACAAAAAAUCCAACAACACUGAUGUGUACAAAGUGGAAAAUAAAGCUCACUCCAAGGCCCCCAACUCCUACAAAUGAAGUGUGGCUCAUCAUACUCUAGGCCAUUUUCUGUAAAGAUAUAAACAUGUGAGACGCCUGGGUGGCUCAGCGGUUGAGCAUCUGCCUUUGGCUCAGGGUGUGAUCCCGGAGUCCGAGGAUCAAGUCCCACAUUGGGCUCCCUGCAUGAAGCCUGCUUCUCUCUCUGCCUGUGUCUCUGCCUCUCUCUCUAUGUCUUUCAUGAAUAAAUAAAUAAAAUAUUUUGAAAAAGAUAUAAACAUGCAUAUACUGGCAUAGCUUUUUAAAGAAAUAGAACUUACUCUAAACUAUUAAGCUUGCAAAGUAGAGAGUCACAUAUGUAGUAAUGAUCAACUGAACUGAAUAUAACAUUUAGGGAAAAUAUUUGUUGGGCUCAAUUGAGGAGAGUGGCUCUUUGCCCUAAAUUCCUCAUAGCUGGUCAGGAGGCUUAAGUUUGGAAAUUUUUCUGAUCUUAGCAGGUAAUUCAUUACUGUGUGCUGCACCUCAGACCCCAAGAUCUUUUCUUGGGAUAAAUAUCUGCCAAAGAAGAUAAAAAAGCUGAGGCAUGUCCAAAGACAGGAGAGCCAUGUGGAUUUUCGAAACAGAACUGAAAGGGGUCAGUGAAGUAAUCCUCCCAGGCUAGCCAGAAAUCAAGGGGCAAAAAAUGUGUCUUGAAGUGGGGUGAUGGCCUCAUCAGAGAGUCAGAAAUCUAUGGCUGUGUUUAGGGACACACACUUAGUGAAGGGGAUCAAUGUUCCUCUAUAGAAGCUCACAUUAUCUACUAAUUCUCUAAAAAAGCACGUGUCAGGACUAGGAAGCAACUAGAGAUAAGGCCUAAGAGGCCUGUGAGAGGCUAAAGCAGCAGCCCCGAAAUGCCAUGAGAUAUUAAAUGUCUUUCCCAGAUUUCAAAAUGUGAAAGUGGCAAAGUGGAAGAGUUUUCAAGCCACUGAAUUGGAGCUGCCAAUUUGGUUCCAUACACUGGCCAUGUUUGCAUAGACAAAUAAAGGCAAAGAAAAGUGGAAACCAUCAGCUUGAACUGGGGCAUGAAUGAUCCCUGUUAGCUUUUUCCAUUGAUUCAAAUUUAGCAAAUGACUACAUACUUUGCCUGGGUUGAAAUACCUCAAUGUAUUUAGUAUACAUAACUUUGUCAUUUAAAUGCCAAGAAUGUUGUUCAUGCUUAAUAAAUGAGA